UAGCCAAGUCUCAAACUUGUACAAAAGAACCCUGGAAAACGGGACCCCUGCUGCCAGUAGCUGGGGAAGGUCUUACCGGGGACCAGUGCACCUGCUAAGAGCAAACGCCCACUGGACAGUAUAAAGGAAAUACCACAUGAAAGCCUGGAGAAUGAACAAAAGCAAGCAGAUUUAGGAAAGGACUUGAUACUAGGAGUGGAGAACAGCUUUUUCACGACUCUUAGCUUUCUUUCAAGAAGGCCAUCACUCAGGGCCACAAGAUAGGGAGGGGCCCAGAACUCUGGUGGAAAACCAGUCUUUCUGGCUUCAAGAUCCAGAGGACAGAGUUCAGGACAAGCACAGCCACAGCAAAAUGAAGGGAGAGUCCUGGAACGGAGAGAGCCAGACAGAGGCGCCUCAGAGUCUGAAUAUAAUCUCUGCCCCAAUUUCUGGCAGACUACAGCUAAGGAUAAAAUAAUUGAACUGAGACCUCAGCUGCCACCAAGACAUAGCAUUUGCAGUUUGAGUCCAACCCAAGUAACUACCUGAUGAAACAAACAAACAAUGGAUAUGUCUGCGUCAGAUGUAGUGAAGAGAUGGGUUGAGGGGAAGGUGUGUGUGUGUGUGUGUGGGGGGGUGUGUGCUGAAAAUGUAGAUUCCCAGGUCCUGCCCACAGAUCUACAGAAUCAGACUUUCUUGGGUGUAAUGCCUCAGCUCUGCGUUUGUAACAAGCAGCCUUGAUGACUCAGACACACAAAUUUGAUCCUCAUUGCUCUGAGUGCAGUAUCUUUGGCUGCCAAGGAGGAUGCGUCAGCUGCUCACAUCUCCCGUGCCUGGCCGCAUAAAGCUGAGAGGUCAUUCAGAAGGGAAGAGGAGAUGCUUCACCCUUAAGAUCAUCGCUGAAAACUUUGCUAUUGAAGAGGGCCACAUAGAGACCGGACAGCUGUCCAUCAGUGGUCUCCUGCAGAGAGAAGCUUUUUCAAGUCUUGAAGUGAUACAUGUUCAAGAUUUGCUGGGGUUUUCACAGAUCAGCAGACAGAUAGCAAGCUGCUUGGCACGGGAAGGUGAAAUACCAGUCAUUUGUGCCUGGCAUCCUGGUCCUCACGUUUUGCUACUUCCAUUGCUGUACAUUCCAAUUAUAAAAAAUUCAUAG
rnacentral:lncRNA from 1 species